rnacentral:rRNA from 1 species
AGCAGUAGCCGCGGUAAAACGAGGAGGGCAAGCGUUGUUCGGAUUUAUUGGGCGUAAAGGGUGCGUAGGCGGUUUGGCAAGUCUCGUGUGAAAUCUAUGGGCUCAACCCAUAGCCUGCACGAGAAACUACCGGGCUUGAGUAUUGGAGAGGUGAGUGGAAUUUCCGGUGUAGCGGUGAAAUGCGUAGAUAUCGGAAGGAACACCUGUGGCGAAAGCGGCUCACUGGACAAUAACUGACGCUGAUGCACGAAAGCUAGGGGAGCAAACAGGAUUAGAUACCCCCGUAGUCCCUGUCUCUUAUAC